rnacentral:rRNA from 1 species
AAAGGAAUUGACGGGGGCCCGCACAAGCAGUGGAGUAUGUGGUUUAAUUCGACGCAACGCGAAGAACCUUACCAAGGCUUGACAUGUAGAGUAAGGAAGUAGAGAUACUUAGGCCCUACGGGGACUCUACACAGGUGGUGCAUGGUUGUCGUCAGCUCGUGUCGUGAGAUGUUGGGUUAAGUCCCGCAACGAGCGCAACCCUUGCAGUCAGUUGCCAGCGCGUAAAGGCGGGAACUCUGACAGGACUGCCGGUGACAAAUCGGAGGAAGGUGGGGACGACGUCAAAUCAUCAUGCCCCUUACGUCUUGGGCUACACACGUACUACAAUGGACGCAACAGAGGGAAGCGAAGUCGCAAGGCGGAGCGGAUCCCUAAAAAGCGUUCUCAGUUCGGAUUGUGGGCUGAAACCCGCCCGCAUGAAGUCGGAAUUGCUAGUAAUCGCAGGUCAGCAUACUGCGGUGAAUACGUUCCCGGGCCUUGUACACACCGCCCGU